GGACUACAAGGGUAUCUAAUCCUGUUUGCUCCCCACGCUUUCGCGCAUCAGCGUCAGAACCGGUCCAGGUAGCCGCCUUCGCCACUGGUGUUCCUCCCAAUAUCUACGCAUUUCACCGCUACACUGGGAAUUCCGCUACCCCCUCCCGGCCUCAAGCACGGUAGUUUCAAAGGCAGUUCCUCAGUUGAGCCGAGGGAUUUCACCUUUGACUUACCACGCCGCCUACGCGCCCUUUACGCCCAAUAAUUCCGAAUAACGCUUGCCCCCUCCGUAUUACCGCGGCUGCUGGCAC
rnacentral:rRNA from 1 species